rnacentral:lncRNA from 1 species
AUGGACUGUGCUAGGAGAGAAAGUCUAAUGGUGUCCAAUUGUUCCAAAGCUCUUGUCAUGGACUGCAUCAUGGCACCAAUCUGAGUAGAGACAGUCUCACUGGAGCCCCUGAUCUAUCUCCUCAAAAAGUCAAAUCCAUCCUCCAAAACUUCUCGAAGUCUAGCCAUCUCUGCAGACAGGUUGGAGACCUUUGUGAUGUCCUCAUGCGGCUAGAGAUGGACUAAGGCUAAUACCUGCCUUUGCAAGUCUAAAACUCUGCUUGUCAGUCUCAAAAUGCAUCCCUCAACCUCCUCAAGUCGUAUGGACUGAGU